UACAGAGGGGGCAAGCGUUGUUCGGAAUUACUGGGCGUAAAGGGCGCGUAGGCGGCCUUCUAAGUCGAACGUGAAAUCCCCGGGCUCAACCCGGGAACUGCGUCCGAUACUGGAAGGCUUGAAUCCGGGAGAGGGAUGUGGAAUUCCAGGUGUAGCGGUGAAAUGCGUAGAGAUCCGGAGGAACACCAGUGGCGAAGGCGACACGCUGGGCCGUACCUGACACUGAUGCGCGACAGCAUGGGGAGCAAACAGG
rnacentral:rRNA from 1 species